AGAUGAGUCUGAUCAAUGGAGAUAUUUCUUGAAAGAGGAAAAACCCCAGUAUCCGUUCCAAUGGUUUGAGGGCAGAGAGGACUGGUUUUGUGAGAGAAUCCUCUAUACUUUUUGCAAAAAUGUUAAUCCACUACAACUUUCAGAGUACCUAAGAGAACAACAAUGUCUCACUCUAACUGAUUUGGAGCAUAUCAAACAAAUGUUCAGAUGGAAAGAAAACGCUUCAGCUGCUACUGAAUUGUUGCUCAGACUACGAAAACGACCUAAUUGGAUACAUUAUCUAAUAAAGGCAUAUAGUCGUCCAGAGCUAGGGCUAA